rnacentral:rRNA from 1 species
GUAUUAAAGGCAACGCCUGCCCAGUGAAAAUUAAACGGCCGCGGUACCCUAACCGUGCAAAGGUAGCAUAAUCAUUUGUCUAUUAAUUGUAGACCUGUAUGAAAGGCAAAAUGAGAGCCCAACUGUCUCUUAUAAUAAAUCAAUUAAACUGAUCUUCUAGUACAAAAGCUAGAAUACCAACAUAAGACCAGAAGACCCUGUGAAGCUUUAACUAACCUAUUAAACCAAAUAAUAGUUACUUUCGGUUGGGGCGACCUUGGAAUAAAAAAGAACUUCCAACAACAUGACUAAUCAUGAACAUAGGCAAACAAGCCAACACCAGACCCAGUACUACUGAUAAUUGAAAUAAGUUACUCCAGGGAUAACAGCGCCAUCUUCUUUAAGAGCCCAUAUCAAAAAGAAGGUUUACGACCUCGAUGUUGGAUCAGGGCAUCCCAGUAAUGCAGCCGUUACUAAAGGUUCGUUUGUUCAACGAUUAACAGCCCUACGUGAUCUGAG